rnacentral:rRNA from 1 species
CUGGUUGAUCCUGCCAGUAGUCAUAUGCUUGUCUCAAAGAUUAAGCCAUGCAUGUCUAAGUCCAAGCUGUGUUCACACGGCGAGACCGCGGACGGCUCAUUAAAUCAGUCGUGGUCCAAAUGGGCCAGUGCAAAUCCUACUUGGAUAACUGUGGUAAUUCCAGAGCUAAUACAUGCAACUGAUAUCCCGAAGGCGGUGUUUGUGCUUGCUUGUCUUGCGCUUGCGCUGCUCUGACGGAUGCUUUUAUUAGACCAAACCGCUGAGGACUUGAGGGUUCGCGCUCUCUUGUUUGACUCGUGUGAUGGUGACUCUGGAUAACCAAUUUGACAAGCGCACGUACUUCUCUUCUGAGCGAGACGGCGCUGCCACUUUCGAGUGUCUGCCUUAUCAGCUAUCAACCGUUCGUUAUGCGCGACCGAUGGCUUUGACGGGUAACGGGGAAUCAGGGUUCGAUUCCGGAGAGGCAGCCUGAGAGACGGCUACCACGUCCAAGGACGGCAGCAGGCACGCAAAUUACCCAAUCCCAGCAAAUGGGGGAGGUAGUGACGAAAUCUAACGAUGCGGGCGCCCUUUCUGGGGCCCCGCAAUCGGAAUGGGCACUUUCUAAACAACCUGUUGAGAACCUACUGAAGGGCAAGUCUGGUGCCAGCAGCCGCGGUAAUUCCAGCUUCAGCAGCAUCUAUUAAAGUUGCUGCRGUUAAAARGCUCGYAGUUGAAUGUCUGUAUCGAGCGCAGGUCAGGUGGACGUU